rnacentral:pre_miRNA from 1 species
AAUAAGUGUAGUUUUACACUAUUUAUGUUUAACGUUUGACCGUUCGUCUUAUUUGAAAUUUUUUUACGAUUAAUAUUUUUAUUGUUACUAGAUGAUAAAAUAUGAAUAGUACUUUAUGUGUGACUAACUUUUUUUAAUUUUCUCAUAAAUUUUUCAAAUAAGACGGACGGUCAAACUUUGGACACAGAUUCCCACGACUGCACUUAUU